rnacentral:lncRNA from 1 species
GGGUAACGAGGGAACAAGGCUCGUUCGAUUGGUUCAAAGGCGUGAUGAACGAGAUUGCCGACCUUGAUCAGAGGGUACGUAAGAACUAUUAGUUACAUUAAAACUCCAACACAGAAAAAUGCUGCUACCUUGUCAUUUGAUUUGACUUACCUGAGUGUUAAUCAAUCCAGGGAGUACUUGAGAUGCACAACUACUUAACCAGUGUAUACGAGGAAGGGGACGCGAGAUCGACUCUGAUCACGAUGGUGCAAGCAUUGAACCACGCCAAGAACGGAGUGGACAUUGUCUCGGGCACCAGGGUGCGGACUCAUUUUGCGAGGCCUAACUGGAAGAAGGUGCUCUCGAAAUUAAGCUCAAAGCACUGUAAUGCAAGGAUAGGUAAUUAAAGGCAGUUCACUAGCUAUAUACUUUCCCAGGUAGUCAUGUUCGAUCUGAGAAGGGUUUUGAUUAUAUUAAUGCUGAUGUAUGUGGUGGGGAAUGCAGGGGUAUUCUACUGUGGGGCACCAGUUCUGGCAAACGAACUUGGAAAGCUAUGCUACGAGUUCAACCAGAAGGGUUCUACCAAGUUCGAAUUCCACAAGGAGCAUUUCUAGAACGGGGAAGAAACAAAUCACGUUGCCCAUAAUACACCUACACUAGUCCUUGCUUCAUGCUGCACGUAAGAUCAUUUUUGGGUCAAACACUCUAAUCAAGUCCCAUAACUUUUGGGUCCGAUUACAUACCCAUCUCGAAACUUCCAAAAGUAACGCAUCCGUCCCGAAACUGAAAUUUAUGUUUCGAGACCAGUGUGUAACAUUUGGAAGUUUCGGAAUCAAUAUGUAACCCGGACCAAAAUUACGGGACCAAUUAUAUAUUUGACCCGGUCAUUUUUGCAUUAAAAGCCAUUAAUUAUACACACGUGUGUCGAUGGGAGAUAUGGUAGCGAGGCGGUCUAAAUAAUUAGACAAGCUCUCGAAGCUAAAAGUCGUCACUCGACCACUAUUACUACACUACCUGCAACUAUGUGUCAUUAAACAUUACAGCUCUCUCUGUACAGAUGCAAAUCAGAGGCAAAAUGCCAAAGAAAAAUACCAGAGACUGGGAAAAGUAUACAUACACGAAGAUAGGUAUUAUUAUUAUUAUUAUGUGAAAAAAGUAUAUGAAUGAAAGGGGCGCUUGGCUUUAAUUUAGCUUUGUUUAGUUGAUGAUUUUGUUCUGCAGCCUUUGAAUUGAAUUUAUCAUAUAUACUUCGUAUUAUUAUUUGUUUUGAUAUGAUGUGUCUGGGUUCUUCCUCCCUGGAAUCCGUACGGUUACGUGGUCCACACUCUCUUGUUAGAGCUGCCAGUCCCCACGCAGCUUCAACUCAUAGGCUCGCUAACUGAUAUUGUCAGUUUGAUUUGGGUCGAUUUCUCACGGCCUCUUCAAAAAUUACCAUAUUAUUUUGGUUGAUGAACACUUUUAAAUUAGGUAAAAUUAUUUUUUUGUAUAUCAAUGUGAUAUUUGAGUUGUUUUUCUAACGAGAUUUAUUUUUCAACUUUUUAUUCACAAGCGUUUGAUUUUUUAAAAUACUAAAUACAUCUUAACGUGAUUAAUAAAUUAAAAAAAUUAAAAGGAAUUGUAUUAAAACAAAAGAACAGAAAGAGACGCAUUAUUAUGCACAUCAAAGGAAACACAUGGACUCUAGUGUUUUUGGAUUACAAACAACGUAACCUACUAGUGUUUUGAUUUUAAUUAGUUUUGGAAUCUCGCAUCAAGUAUGCGUUGACGAUUUGACAGUAUUAUAUUAUAUAAAAAAUUAUUUUAUGUGUAUAUUCUUCAUUUUUUAUCUAUACUCACUGAAACAAAUUUAAUCUAAAAAAAUCCAGUAUUCCGUUUUGAAAAAUCGAAAAGUAGUACGGAAAUAUCUAAUAUUGAAGAGUUACGCCACAACCCUUUAGGUAUAAAUGAGAUUUGGUACAUAAUAAAUUUCCAACUAGAUGGAGUAAUAAAAUAAGAGAAACAGAGGGGAGUUACCUCUCAUAUUGGCCGCUGCUUAUCACUCACUAUCUUCCUAGGAAAUUCCUCCCUC